GAGCUCAAGGUCUUUUCUUGAAAUAAUCAUCAUGAGUGAGAACUCCCCUCACUGUGCCCAGCAGUCUCUGAUCUUAUCUUUCCCAUGUUAGAGCUGGUAAAUGGGCUGAAUCCAGCACUGGAGAAGUAGCAUUGCCGGGAGACUAUGGUAGUUGAAGAUGACUUGGGAAUCCAUAAUGGGAAGGAAGGAGGGAGUGCAUUCCAGCACAGAUGACACCAGCACAAAGAUAGAGAAAUGGGAGAUGGGAUCUCUGUAUGAAGAACAGAGAUGAGACAGAUUGAUGGAAUAAUUUGGUAUAACAAGACUGGAAGGCUUUGGGAAGAAAAAGCUCCUUACAAAGGGAGCCUAUGGCAUUUUAAGAAGCAGUUACUGGAAUGAAGAGCUGACAUUUCAUCAGGAAACUAAAUGAAUUAAAAAUACCACUAUUAUCCAGCUUUGGAAUUCAGCAAGUAAGCAGACCUAUGAAAAACUAGUUAGAAUGCAAGGUAAAGAUCCCUGUACCACACUACAAAGAAGACUAACAGGUAGGCAGAAAUAAAAAUUCUGGGCUGGAAGCUGGCCAAUUUACUGGAGGCUGCCUGCUCUAUUCCUGUAACAAGUAUCGUGGGAUUCUAAUGAUCAACAGAAGCUUGGAUUCAGUUGCUUCUAAAUAAUCUUUUAUUUUCCUUUCCUGGUUGCCCAAGAAUGUAUUCAGAAAUCUUCUGGGGGAAAAAAUUGGUAAAGGGAAAAUGUCAAACCUGGCACAUAGAAUGUAAAAUCAGUGUAAAAAAAAAAGGUCUCUAAAAAUGGCUUUUGCUGAAGUAUGAUGAAAGGAAAUAGAAAGAACCAGACAUCAUCCUCUCUCUGUUCGCCUAUUUGCAUGUUCUUGUGACAAAAGAUGCUACUAAAGCCUUUUUUUCUGUUUUGA